UCAAGAAACUUCCACAAUGGGCGAAAGCCUGAUGGAGCGACGUCGCGUGAUGGACGAAGUGCUUCGGCACGUAAACAUCUUUUAUGUGGGAUGAAAUUAUUGACAGUACCACAUGAAUAAGGGGCUCCUAACUCUGUGCCAGCAGGAGCGGUAAUACAGAGGCCCCAAGCGUUAUCCGGAAUCACUGGGCGUAAAGGGUGUCGAGGCGGUUGUAUUAGUCGUUCGUAAAAUCUACGAGCUUAACUUGUAGGCGGCGAACGAAACGGUACGACUUGAGGUUUGGAGAGGUGCGUGGAACUCACGGUGUAGGGGUGAAAUCCGUUGAUAUCGUGGGGAACACCAAAGGCGAAGGCAGCGCACUGGCCAAAAUCUGACGCUCACACACGAAAGCUAGGGUAGCGAAGAGGAUUAGAUACCCAGGUAGUCCCUGAGCGGGCUGGCAAGGCGCAU
rnacentral:rRNA from 1 species